rnacentral:lncRNA from 1 species
UGAGCGCUCUCAACAGACAGCUGUGAAAGUAAAUGGGAGCUGUGUGAAAGCAUUUGAGAGGGAGCAGGAACAAAGCAAGCACUGGGCAGAGGAGCUACAGAACUCUGGUUCAUGAUGUAAAGCAUUGGUUCACAGUGAAGAUCCAAAGGGCA